rnacentral:lncRNA from 14 species
GGGAGAUGUUCAUUUAAAGCCCUCUGGUUGAGAAACGGAGCUUCUGCAGGCAUGCAGGAGCUGUUUCUGAAGGAUCUGGAAGAAAUCACAACAGUGGAGGUUAUGAGGGGGGACAUAUUCCAGGCUUUUUGUUACCACGUCGCCUCUUCCUAGCAAAAUGGAUGUGCCAGUGGGAUUCCCUGAGUCGAUCCAGCUCUCAUGUUAACUCUGCCGGGUCAUGGCGGCACAGAACAUUGUGUCACUGGGUUAUCCAGGAGCACCACAUCAG